CGGCUGCUCAGUAACACGUAGUCAACUUACCCUAUGGACGAGGAUAAUCUCGGGAAACUGAGCAUAAUACUCGAUAGAUCAUAAUGCCUGGAACGGUUUAUGGUUGAAAUGAUUCGUCGCCAUAGGAUAGGACCGCGGCCUAUCAGCUUGUUGGUGAGGUAAUGGCCCACCAAGGCGAUUACAGGUACGGGCUCUGAGAGGAGAAGCCCGGAGAUGGGUACUGAGACAAGGACCCAGGCCCUAUGGGGCGCAGCAGGCGAGAAAACUUUGCAAUGUGCGAAAGCACGACAAGGUUAAUCCGAGUGAUUUCUGCUAAAGAAAUCUUUUGCAAGUCAUAAAACCACUAGUGAAUAAGGGGUGGGCAAGUUCUGGUGUCAGCCGCCGCGGUAAAACCAGCACCUCAAGUGGUCAGGAGGAUUAUUGGGCCUAAAGCAUCCGUAGCCGGCUCUGUAAGUUUUCGGUUAAAUCCAUGUGCUCAACGCAUGGGCUGUCGAAAAUACUGCAUAGCUAGGGAGUGGGAGAGGUAGACGGUACUCGGUAGGAAGGGGUAAAAUCCUUUGAUCUAUCGAUGACCACCUGUGGCGAAGGCGGUCUACCAGAACACGUUCGACGGUGAGGGAUGAAAGCUGGGGGAGCAAACCGGAUUAGAUACCCGGGUAGUCCCAGCUGUAAACGAUGCAGACUCGAUGAUGCAUUGGCAUAUAGCCAGUGCAGUGUCGCAGGGAAGCCGUUAAGUCUGCCGCCUGGGAAGUACGUACGCAAGUAUGAAACUUAAAGGAAUUGGCGGGGGAGCAG
rnacentral:rRNA from 1 species